CCCUUAGAUGUUCUGGGCUGCACACGUGCUACACUGAUAUUGCCAAUAUGUCAUUCUUAUCCGAAAUGGAUUGGGUAAUCAAGUAAUGAAAUUUCAUGCUUGGAAUCGGUAAUUGCAAUUUUAUCGUGAACGAGGAAUUCCUAGUAAGCACUAGUCAUCAGCUAAUGUUGAUUAUGUCCCUGCCCUUUGUACACACCGCCCGUCGCUACUACUGAUUGGGUGUUCAAGUGAGAUGCUUAGACCCUUGUUGCAUGGUUCAUUAUUGUGCUCCGAAAGGAAAAAGUUUCAAGCUUGAGUGUCUAGAGGAAGUAAAAGUCGUAACA
rnacentral:rRNA from 1 species